GCGGUGAUAGCUCAGUGGGUAAAGCGCCAGGUGAGAAGAUGCUCCGAGAGUUAUAUCUGCGCGGGUUUGAAUCCCGCCUGUAUGCA